AUACGGAGGGUGCAAGCGUUAUCCGGAUUCAUCGGGUUUAAAGGGUGCGCAGGCGGAAUGAUAAGUCAGUGGUGAAAUCCUACAGCUUAACUGUAGAACUGCCAUUGAUACUGUCAUUCUUGAGUACACUUGAAGUGGGCGGAAUGUAUCAUGUAGCGGUGAAAUGCAUAGAUAUGAUACAGAACUCCGAUAGCGAAGGCAGCUCACUAAAUUGUAACUGACGCUCAGGCACGAAAGCGUGGGGAGCGAACAGGAUUAGAAACCCCAGUAGUCC
rnacentral:rRNA from 1 species